AUUUAUGAGUAUUGGUCUGAAUUCUUGAGCUUCUCUUCUCUGUAUUUCAGUUUGAUCUUCACAAUGAAGACCAUCAUAAGCCUCUUCCUCCUUUCCUUUGUCUUGACUGUCAACAGUCAGAAUGCAGAUAGAAAGUGGUUUGGCGAAGGUGUUAAGGAAGUGUGUUCGUUUAUCUGUGAGGUGGAUUCUGUUAAUGAUUUACCUCCUGGUGGAAAUGAUGCAACCGGUUAUAAUGGGGAUUCCACAUUUAAAAGCAACAUCCAGAAAGAUGAUGCUGCAGGCCGAUGCUUCCAUUAAUCUGUUUAGUACACAAAUGGCAGGAACCUUGACUCCUAAGCUGGCUUUGCUCCUUGAUAACUCCUCUACAUAGCUUGUGAGCUUCUCCUGGAGUAACCCUUCUUCCUUGCUCCCCCAACCUACUAUUGCAUGUUGCAUUUAAUAAACAUCAGUGCUGAACAUAAACUUUCCUUAAU
rnacentral:lncRNA from 1 species